rnacentral:rRNA from 1 species
AGUGAACGCUGGCGGUAGGCCUAACACAUGCAAGUCGAACGGCAGCACAGGAGAGCUUGCUCUCUGGGUGGCGAGUGGCGGACGGGUGAGGAAUACAUCGGAAUCUACUCUGUCGUGGGGGAUAACGUAGGGAAACUUACGCUAAUACCGCAUACGACCUACGGGUGAAAGCAGGGGAUCUUCGGACCUUGCGCGAUUGAAUGAGCCGAUGUCGGAUUAGCUAGUUGGCGGGGUAAAGGCCAACCAAGGCGACGAUCCGUAGCUGGUCUGAGAGGAUGAUCAGCCACACUGGAACUGAGACACGGUCCGGACUCCUACGGGAGGCAGCAGUGGGGAAUAUUGGACAAUGGGCGCAAGCCUGAUCCAGCCAUACCGCGUGGGUGAAGAAGGCCUUCGGGUUGUAAAGCCCUUUUGUUGGGAAAGAAAUCCAGCUGGCUAAUACCCGGUUGGGAUGACGGUACCCAAAGAAUAAGCACCGGCUAACUUCGUGCCAGCCGCCGCGGUAA